rnacentral:rRNA from 1 species
UACGAAGGGGGCUAGCGUUGCUCGGAAUCACUGGGCGUAAAGCGCACGUAGGCGGCUUUCUAAGUCAGGGGUGAAAUCCUGGAGCUCAACUCCAGAACUGCCUUUGAUACUGGAGAGCUUGAGUCCGGGAGAGGUGAGUGGAACUCCGAGUGUAGAGGUGAAAUUCGUAGAUAUUCGGAAGAACACCAAGUGGCGAAGGCGGGCUCACUGGCCCGGUACUGACGCUGAUGUGCGAAAGCGUGGGGAGCAAACAGG